GUGUCUAGUCUCAAGAGACAGUUC
rnacentral:piRNA from 1 species